rnacentral:rRNA from 1 species
CCUACGGGGCGCUGCAGUGAGGAAUAUUGGUCAAUGGGCGCGAGCCUGAACCAGCCAAGUAGCGUGAAGGAUGACUGCCCUACGGGUUGUAAACUUCUUUUAUAAAGGAAUAAAGUGAGGCACGUGUGCCUUUUUGUAUGUACUUUAUGAAUAAGGAUCGGCUAACUCUGUGCCAGCAGCCGCGGGAAUACGGAGGAUCAGAGCGUUAUCCGGAUGUAGUGGGGUUAAAGGGUGCGCAGGCGGAGGCACAAGUCAGCGGUAAAAUCGCGGGGCCCAACCCCGAUCCGACGUUGAAACUGUGUCCCGUGAGUGCGAGAAGGGUAGGCGGAAUGCGUGGUGUAGCGGGGAAAUGCAUAGAUAUCACGCAGAACUCCGAUCGCGAAGGCAGCCUACCGGCGCGCAACUGACGCUCAUGCACGAAAGCGUGGGUAUCGAACAGGAUUAGAUACCCGAGUAGUC